UGGGGAAUAUUGGGCAAUGGACGCAAGUCUGACCCAGCAACGCCGCGUGAAGGAAGAAGGCUUUCGGGUUGUAAACUUCUUUGUCAGGGAAGAGCAGAAGACGGUACCUGACGAAUAAGCCACGGCUAACUACGUGCCAGCAGCCGCGGUAAUACGUAGGUGGCAAGCGUUGUCCGGAUUUACUGGGUGUAAAGGGCGUGCAGCCGGGUCUGCAAGUCAGAUGUGAAAUCCGUGGGCUCAACCCACGAACUGCAUUUGAAACUGUGGAUCUUGAGUAUCGGAGAGGUAAUCGGAAUUCCUAGUGUAGCGGUGAAAUGCGUAGAUAUUAGGAAGAACACCAGUGGCGAAGGCGGAUUACUGGACGACAACUGACGGUGAGGCGCGAAAGCGUGGGGAGCAAAC
rnacentral:rRNA from 1 species